AAAUAGAACUUUGCAGAGAGAGUUAACAGGGCGUGAAACCGUUAAUUGAGAAACGAAUCGGAGCCACGAAGUCGUUUCGUGUUUAGUUGGGUCAAGUUCAGCCUGUGAGCUAAAACUCAUGGGUGUAUUCUUGGUUCGGCCAAACUUGUAAGCGUACACUGCAACCAGUUAGACGAUUGGCCAUGGGCCCAGUUGGAUUGUGAGGUAACUUGCAGUCCAGCAAAGCAUCUGUUUGCUUGAAUCAGUAGUAGCAUGGUACAUUUCGGUGUAUUUGUGUUGCUUGGUUCAGGUAAGUGAACUAUGGCCAAAUACUGACUGGCAAAAUGAAAAUCGCAUCUUGCGUUUUAAAGAAUGCAGCUAGCCGCAUAGAUGUCUACAUAUUCGACUAGUUGGUGUGAGCUCAGCAUUUUUGAAUUUAGACUUGCUUGCUACCAGUGGGGCAACUCCUGGUGCUUGUAUAGCUUCUAUCUAAUCGGGUGUUGACUUCGCUAGCUAUCGUUCGGGUAUGAAUCGUUCGGAUGUUUAUGUGAGUUGGUUUGCAAUUAUUGGCAGUGAGUAGGUCGGCUUUCCGAACGACCCGUCUUGAAACACGGACCAAGGAGUCUAAUUAAGUAUCGAGUCGAUCGGUCUUGAAUAGGCCAGAUAGGUGCAAGCAAUUGUGCCGACUGAAGGCGUAGAGAAAUCAAAUCGUGUGAUCAUGCAAGCAAUAUCAGCUUACAUGCGCAACAUGUGCCUGUUCGUAUAGCAAUGUCAGCAAUGACUUGCUGAGCGGAGCAAAGAGAUACUUGAUUGGUACC
rnacentral:rRNA from 1 species